GAAAGAGACGAUUUCGUCUGUGAUGGAAUCUUUGGAGGAAUAUUCUCAGUUUACUAUUGAACAGAUGCCUAUGAGUAGUCGGAUUUGUUAUUCCGGUGAUGGUCCGGCGAGAACUUACAGGUAACAUUCAUAACUUUGUUGAUUUUAAUGAUUGAACGUUAACCAAAUCCCAUGUGUUGUUUAUUGAGUGACUUAGAAUAUUAGUCACAAGUUUUUUGAAGGUGACAUAUAAUAUCAAUAAGUAUCUGAUUCGGUCAACACUUGGCCUGUAAAAGUCUUUGUGCAUUCUGUAUUAGUCUCCUAUGUCGGUCACGAUCUUUACUUUUAUUGAACAUCACAUGAUUUUACUGAGAAAUGUUUUCACAUGAUUUUAGUGAGAAAUGUUUUCACAUGAUUUUAGUGAGAAAUGUUUUAAAGAUUCUAUCUUUUGUUUGUAUCUUUUUUGUU
rnacentral:sRNA from 1 species